UGGGUGCUAGGGCAGACACUAUUCAUGUGAAUAGUGGUUGCCCUUGCAAAAAGCAAUGUGUGUUUCCACCCAUUGCCAUGGCAAAUGACGAAUACUAUUCACUUUUGGUUUUUUAAUUUUUUUUAAUUUUAUUAUUUAUUUAUUUAUUUUUUAAUAUUUUUAUUUAUGCUUUGUUUAUGUUUUAUUUUUAGUUAUGCUUUGGUUAUGGUUUUUUUUUCUUUUUUUAAAAUUAUGCUUUGGUUGUGGUUUUUUCUUUUAAUUAUACUUUGUUUGAUGUAUGAAAAUGUGUUGAAUAAAAAGGUAUUUUAUUGAAUGCUUUCUUUAUUUACUCAAAGAAAACCAAUACAAGUAAUUAAAAGAAUUACUACUAAUUAAAUAAAAUACAUGAAUUACAACUACUUUAAUACAAAACAUUAAAAUACAAUGAAAUAAAAGGCAAGCAAACUAACUUAAUGGUUUUGAUCAUUUAACCACUCCGUGUUACUAGGUCCAUCAUAACGGAAAAGUCUUCUUCUCAUAAUAUCGCUUCGUUCUAGCUUCCAAAAUUGUUCUGUUUCAGGAGUCAUAUGUUUUGUAUUUGUGGCCAUGGUUUCCCGAUUCUUCUUGUCAAUGUUUUCUUUGCGUACAUACUCCCUUUCUUUUGCAUAUUCUUUUGGAAUUGUCAUCUCGUCCGCUUGGGCGCGUAUGUCUAUUUCAAUUCUCAUGGCACUGUGCCUUACGAUUUCCUCCAAAUUUUUUGAUGUAUUAUUGCUAGAAU
rnacentral:lncRNA from 1 species